CUACGUCCUUCCAUCUUGUUUUAGGUAUACCUCUGCCUCUUUUUCCGGGGAUGGAAAGUCGUAGUGCUAAAUUUCCAACGUAGUCUCCUCCUUACGUGACCAUACCAUCUCAGCCUACUCUUCUGCAUUUUUUCAGCGAUGUCACGCACGCCCAGGCUGCCUCGUACGUACUCGUUGCGGAUUUUCUCGAGCCUGGUAACACCACAUAUCCACCUCAGCAUCUUUAUUUCGGCAAUUUGAAUGGGAGAAGUGGACAUAAAAAAAAGAAAGGAUCUUCCUGCCUCGCACAGUUACACUGUGGAAUGAACUGUCCCCCGCGGUAUUUCCGGAAUGAUACGAACUUCAAACCUUCAAGAAAUGAGAGCACCUUAAAGGCCGGCAACGCUUUUGCAAUGCAACCCCUCUGGUGUUACAGAUGUCCAUUCGAAUAAAAGUACUUCUUAAGUUUCCAUGACCCUUU